rnacentral:rRNA from 1 species
UACGUAGGGGGCAAGCGUUGUCCGGAAUCAUUGGGCGUAAAGAGCUCGUAGGCGGCUUGUCGCGUCGGCUGUGAAAACCUGGGGCUCAACCCCGGGCCCUGCAGCCGAUACGGGCAAGCUAGAAUUCGGUAGGGGAGACUGGAAUUCCUGGUGUAGCGGUGAAAUGCGCAGAUAUCAGGAGGAACACCGGUGGCGAAGGCGGGUCUCUGGGCCGAAAUUGACGCUGAGGAGCGAAAGCGUGGGGAGCAAACAGG